ACAGCUCUUCUCCUGGGCCCUGGCUGGCAGCGUGGAAGAGGAGGGAGGAGCUGCUGGAGGCUACAAGUUAUCAAAGACGUUCAGAGACAGAUGCUAAUCAGCCCUAGAAUCCUGUGUAAACACAGCAGGGGUCAAGCCUUCAGUGCAUGGAAGACACAUUGUCUACGCAGGUGUGAAAUGGUCUUCCUGGCCUGGUGUACCAGAACAACAGUCUGUUUGCCCAGGAACCAGGUUCAGGGCUUUAAAGCAAGCCAUAAAGAUGAAAGCAUUCGACUCUACAGAUUAUGUGACAGUCAUGUUUAAAGGUACCAUAGAAUGUGUACAGGCACUGAUACAGCCAACACAACGUAGGUUUUACAUUCGUCUUUG